CUGUGGCUUUGGUGUUUUGUUUGAUUUUUGAGGUUUAAUUUUGAUUUGUUGUAGAUCGAUUAGUGAAGGAUCUCGAUUUAGUGUAGAUGCAAUUUUAUUGUUUAUAUUCUUCCAAUUGUUCAUAACCUCUUUACACUUCUUUGACAGUGAGAGGUAUGGUGAUUUUGCCAAGAAACUCAAUGCAAAUGGCUUGAAGGUUUAUAGAAUGGAUUGGAUCGGUUGGUAAUCGGUCUAGUGAUUUCAUUCAGAGGUAUAUACAGUGGGCCCCGAAUAUGCUCAUGUUGAGGCGACGAAAUAUCCUGUAGUUGAUGGUGUUGUAAUUAUGUGUACAUCUUCGGAGUGGUGCUACUUGAGCUGGUGAUGGGGAAGAAGCGAGUGUCAGGAUUGCACGAGGAUGACAUGAUCAAAGUCCUCAUUUAUAAUGUAGAAGAACUGAUGUAUCAAAUGUUGAUUAUUUUUUUUACAAAUAUUUUGAGUGAUUUUAUGAACAAUGGUUGAAUGUAAUGUUGGAUGAACGAUGUUUGAAUGAAUGUAUGGAUUUUUAAUAUUAAUAAAUAUAUUUUUAGCUUUC